rnacentral:snRNA from 1 species
GUGCUGACUUUAGCAGCAGAUAUACUAAAAUUGGAACAAAACAGUGAAAAUUAGCAUGACCACUGUGCAAGGAUGACAUGCAAACUCAUGAAGCAUUCCAGAUAUUU